rnacentral:rRNA from 1 species
GGGAACAUACCCUUUUCUACGGAAUAGCUCUGGGAAACUGGAAUUAGUACCGUAUACGCCCUACGGGGGAAAGAUUUAUCGGGGAAGGAUUGGCCCGCGUUGGAUUAGCUAGUUGGUGGGGUAAAGGCCUACCAAGGCGACGAUCCAUAGCUGGUCUGAGAGGAUGAUCAGCCACAUUGGGACUGAGACACGGCCCAAACUCCUACGGGAGGCAGCAGUGGGGAAUAUUGGACAAUGGGCGCAAGCCUGAUCCAGCCAUGCCGCGUGAGUGAUGAAGGCCUUAGGGUUGUAAAGCUCUUUCACCGAUGAAGAUAAUGACGGUAGUCGGAGAAGAAGCCCCGGCUAACUUCGUGCCAGCAGCCGCGGUAAUACGAAGGGGGCUAGCGUUGUUCGGAAUUACUGGGCGUAAAGCGCACGUAGGCGGAUAUUUAAGUCAGGGGUGGAAUCCCAGAGCUCAACUCUGGAACUGCCUUUGAUACUGGGUAUCUUGAGUAUGGAAGAGGUAAGUGGAAUUGCGAGU